rnacentral:miRNA from 1 species
AGAAUAUUUCAUACGGUUGACUU